UAGAUGGCCAGUCCAAGCAAUGUCUAUUGGAUGUUUGUUAUUGUUGGGGAGGUUUCCUUAUGAAUCAUCUGUCUGGUUUGUGCGUUUUAAUUAAAAUAGAGUGUCACAAUAAAGCCUGAGAGCCAAUUUUGUAAGCAUGCCUGUUCAGGGAGUGGGGAUGGAUGGGAUCACUUGGUACAGACAUAUCCUGGGGGGCCUUUGGACAUCCUCUGUCACUCUGGCAUGUCCUAUAACCUAUGUACAGGUCAGGGAGCUGCACUGUGUGCCCCAAGGCAAACAUGCUGCCUGGGGUGGUAUACAGCCCCUGUCCUCAGCUCUUCCUCUCCUCCUGCCCCAGAAUAUAUUUUUGGGGGAGCAUCAGGACUGAAAGUUAUGGAGGAGUUCAGUGGGUUCGGAGAGGUCUAUGUAUAUCUUCUAUCCUUUGGUGUUAGCACAGAGCAUUACUGGCAGUCCAUCACUGAAGUUUAAAUAGGAUGCCUUGGGUGCAGAGUUUCAAUUGCAGACCUGAGAGUGAUGGCUGCACAUUUCCACAAGGAGUGAGGGGAAGGUCAGUGCCCUACAAGGCAGGAAGAAAGUUCUUCGAGGGGAACAGCAGCAAAGAACAUCAAACUGCAAUUACAUCCUAAAUGCCCCUCUGUUUUGCUACUGUGAUUUAAAAAUAAAAUAAAAUCUAAUUUCA
rnacentral:lncRNA from 1 species